rnacentral:misc_RNA from 1 species
AACUUUUGGCAAUGGAUCUCUUGGCUCUCGCAUCGAUGAAAAACGCACCGAAAUGCGAUAAGUAAUGUGAAUUGCAGAAUUCAGUGAAUCAUCGAAUCUUUGAACGCAUCUUGCGCCCCUUGGUAUUCCGAGGAGCAUGCCUGUUUGAGAAUCAUUUAACUUCUCAACCACUUGAUAUUCAAGUGGCUUGGAUCUGGGGGUUGUUUGCAGGCUUUUUCUGUCAAAAGGAAAGGUCAGCUCCCCUGAAAUGUAUUAGUGGUAUCUGUGCUGCUACUAUAGGUGUGAUAAUUAUCUAUGCCUUUGGUAUGCUGCAUGAACGGAUUGCACUGCUUAUUAACAAAGACAAACUUGAUAAAUUUGACCUCAAAUCAGGUAGGACUACCCGCUGAACUUAAGCAUAUCAAUAAGCGGAGGCU